ACAAAGAUGGCCGCCCAACGCCAGGCCUCUUCGGACGCGGCGCUGCCAGCCUUAGCGGGUCCGCGGGAGGAGACCAGGUGCCAGUCAAGGCCUUGGCUCCCGCCUUCACUGCCUUGUAAUUGGUGAUGACGCCCGCGCGGGCACUGGGAUUGACUGUAUCCUCCUUUGCAAAAUGGGAAGAAUAAAUCCUGCUCCCCAAGCUGUGGUGACAAAGUGCUGAGCAAAAUGCCUGAAAUGCGACAGAGAACAUAUGCUUGAGUUCCCACCCACCGCCUUCACUACCUGGGUCCAGCCUCACCUCACGCACAGAGCUCCCAUUCCAAGGUAGAGGAGCGUGGUUUCUACACCUUUUCCUGGGGCUUGGGCUUGGGUUCAUCGGUGAUGUCCAGAGCAGUGCAUGGCCCUGCCUUCUUGAUGCAUCCUCAUAGCAUCUCAUCAGGCUCCAAAAGCAAAAUUGAUCUUCCCCUCCUGUCCUGCCUUGUCCACAUUACCCACAUCUCAAUAAAUGCUAUUUCCAUGGAGAUAGUCAAGCUAAA